UGGGGAAUUUUGCACAAUGGGGGAAACCCUGAUGCAGCGACGCCGCGUGAUUUAGAAGGCCUUCGGGUUGUAAAAAUCUUUUGUAUGGGAAGAAAAUGACAGUACCAUACGAAUAAGGACCGGCUAAUUACGUGCCAGCAGCCGCGGUAAUACGUAAGGUCCGAGCGUUGCCCGGAAUCAUUGGGCGUAAAGGGUACGUAGGCGGAUAAGCAAGUUAGAAGUGAAAUCCUAUAGCUCAACUAUAGUAAGCUUUUAAAACUGCUCAUCUUGAGGUAUGGAAGGGAAAGUGGAAUUCCUAGUGUAGCGGUGAAAUGCGCAGAUAUUAGGAGGAAUACCGGUGGCGAAGGCGACUUUCUGGCCAUAAACUGACGCUGAGGUACGAAAGCGUGGGUAGCAAACAGG
rnacentral:rRNA from 1 species